AUGAUUAUGGUGUAUCUUAC
rnacentral:siRNA from 1 species